UACCAUGAUAAGAAUGGACCUUAGGCCUAACUCAACCCCAAAAGCUUGCUUAUGAAGUGAGGAUUGCCCAAACCAUAUAAGGAGACCAAAGACCCCAAAUCCCUCCGGUGUGGGACAACUCAACAGUUGGUAUCCCAUUCUUACUAGAAUUCUUUUUCCAAUUUUAGUUAGGAUGGUUUUCUUAGCCUUAUUUUUAUUCUAGUUUAAUUAGGAGUAGUUUUCCUUAACCUUAUCAAUUUUACUCAUUGUAAGGCCUAUUUAAAGGGCUCAAUAUGCUGAAAAUAAAGGUUGGUGAUUAGUUUUUCUAAGCUUUUGCUUCAAAAACGUGAUUGAUCUUUUAUUUCAUUCUUCUUCCUUUAUUCAACGCUUCUUGCAAUCUUGCGGGAUUGAGGAACGUGUGGGUGUGGGUGAGGUUUCUUUCCAUCUUACAUUCUUCUAACGUGUGUGGGUGAGGUUUCUUUCCAUCUUACAUUCUUCUAACGUGAGUUUGAAGAACGCUUUCGCUAGUUUUGUGAAAAACUUUAGCGGGGUGGUUUGUUUUUCUCUCUUCUUUGUACUUGAGAGGUGCAAAACCUUGAAAGUACAUCAGAAAGCUACGACUUAAUAUUCUCCUGACCUUCCCUUCUCUCUAAAGACCACCUCAAAUAUGUAGUAACCUAUUUUGUAGUCCAGGGAAGUGAUAUGCAUAAGCCAACUAUUUUUCUAAUGGGAGCCGGUCUUUUCCACAAGAUUCAGAAACUGGAUUUGGAUAUAUACUGUCCACUUAAUUCACAUAACAAUACGAUUUCUUACUACUUCAAUGUUUGACGCUGCUUCUAUGAGUGUUGUAAACCACUUGUAUACCCGACUGUAUACAUGUUUCUGAGAGGUUGCAUCAAAUCAUCGAACAAGAAUAUGUCAGAUUCUCUUAACAAUUCUUUAUAUUUUGUACAUCAGCAUCCUACUCCUCAUUCUUAGUAACUCGCUUGUCCCACAACUGUAUGUGCUUUGAUAGUGCAUGAAUUUUCCCUAGGUGUGUCUGCUUUGAGAUCACACACAAAUUUUAACUUUUAUUAUUGGCAACAUGCUUGUCCUCCGACAACUAUUUGUGCUUUAAUAGUGCGUCAGUUUGCUCUUGGUGUAGUUGCUUUGAGAUCAAAUCCAAUUUUUAACAUCUGUGUUAAGACUACAAAGUUUCAUAUAUUUGUUUCAGCUACAUAUGAAGAUAGCUGAGAUGUUUGUUAAUUCCUGAUUCGAGUCUCUAAUUUCAUUCAGGAACUGAGCUAUGCAGGUGUUCAGAGGCUUUUAGGAUUUGUAUGUACAGUUGGAACAUUUUCUGAGGCACUUCCACCGCCAGCAUCAACUCUUAUCUCAUCAUUUUUGUUGCCACAUAAUCCAAAUACUAAAGGUUCAACAUUGACUGAUGGAGCUAGGGCAUUGUCAAAGCAUGUAAACAGGAGCAGCGAUAGCUACUGGGGUAGUUUUUCCGGAAGUGGUUAGUUCCUCGUUCCAGGGCCAUUCAAUGUAAACAUUCUUGAGUUGCAUAUUCCAACAAAAAUAGGGUCGCCUUGGAUGUCAUCAGCGAUUUGAUAACUCAUUGCUGCUGGAUAAAUGUGCAUAUUGUUCCUCCACAUGGGGUUGUUUUUGAGAUAAGAGUUGCUAACGGCUAUGGUGCACGGUGGUCCAAAGAUGGAAGUAAGUUUAUAGGUUUUCUUGGAUGGCCAUUCAAAGGGAUGGAGGCACUGAAUAGCAACAGACACUGUUAAUCUUUGAAUUAUGUUGUAUUUAUAUGUAAACAGAGAACUCCGCUAGUUCUGUACUUCUGUUUCUCAUUUGUCAUGCAUUUUACACUGAUAGCGAUUUUUUUAUUCUUCACAUUGUCAGUGUAUGAUAUAGCUCAUCCCAUCUGUCUUUUGCAGCUCGAUGAUCGUUUGGAUGAUUUGAUUGGGUUUUCAGUGACAACAAACUGACUUCAACUUAGCAUUUUA